rnacentral:rRNA from 1 species
AGGAUCAUUACUGAAUUGUCAACAUGAGUUGUUGCUGGUCCUCAAACGGGGGCAUGUGCACGCUCUGUUCACACAUCCACUCACACCUGUGCACCCUUCAUAGUUCUGUGGCUUGGGAGACCUGUCUCCCUUGCUAUGGCUCUAUGUCUUUACACACACGCCGUAACAAAGUCUUAUGGAAUGUAUAUCGCGUCUAACGCAAUACAAUACAACUUUCAGCAACGGAUCUCUUGGCUCUCGCAUCGAUGAAGAACGCAGCGAAAUGCGAUAAGUAAUGUGAAUUGCAGAAUUCAGUGAAUCAUCGAAUCUUUGAACGCACCUUGCGCCCUUUGGCUAUUCUGAAGGGCAUGCCUGUUUGAGUAUCGUGAACACCUCAACUCUUGCGGUUCGCCGUGAUGAGCUUGGACUUUGGGGGACUUGCUGGCCUAUUGUCAGCUCCUCUCAAAUGAAUCAGCUUUCCAGUGUCUGGUGGCAUCACAGGUGUGAUAACUAUCUACGCUUGUGGGUUGUCCACCAGGUAACCUUCAGUGAUGGAGGUUCGCUGGAGCUCAUAAAUGUCUCUCCU